CUGCAUGAUGAACUCCAAGUUAGUGCCAUCGUGUCUGGGCCACUGAUGCUGUGUGAUGGAACUGAGUAUCUGAGCAG
ensembl:snoRNA small nucleolar RNA SNORD66